rnacentral:rRNA from 1 species
CCUACGGGUGGCAGCAGUGAGGAAUAUUGGUCAAUGGUCGGGAGACUGAACCAGCCAAGCCGCGUGAGGGAUGAAGGUACAGAGUAUCGUAAACCUCUUUUGUCAGGGAACAAAGGCGGGGACGUGUCCCCGGAUGAGUGUACCUGAUGAAAAAGCAUCGGCUAACUCCGUGCCAGCAGCCGCGGUAAUACGGAGGAUGCGAGCGUUAUCCGGAUUUAUUGGGGUAAAGGGGUGCGCAGGGGGCUUGUUAAGUCGGCGGUAAAAGCCCGGGGCUAAACCCGGACCCGCCGUUGAAACUGGCAGUCUCGAGUAGGAGAGAAGUAUGCGGAAUGCGCGGUGUAGCGGUGAAAUGCAUAGAUAUCGCGAAGAACUCCGAUUGCGAAGGCAGCAUGCCGGCUCCACACUGACGCUGAGGCACGAAAGCGUGGGUAUCGAACAGGAUUAGAUACCCUUGUAGUC